rnacentral:lncRNA from 1 species
AUGCCGCAGAAACUGCAGGAAGACUGGCCCAUGGAUCUCAGCUGCCUGCCACAUCCAAGUAGGUGGUUGCCUGCAAGCCUCUGCCAGCUCGCGUCUGCAGACAUGUGUGACCCCUGCUGCCAGAGCGGAAAGGACCGCUGCUUCUCUUCUGCCUUCAAUCCGGGGCAAGUCCCUCACUGGCAGACUCUAAAGGAAACUGAUCGUUUUUUCUCAGCUUUCCUCCUCGAUACAGAGAACGUCCCUCUAUCCGCUAUUAUGGAUGCAACGGGCCCUUCAAAAUGCCUUCAGGCUUGCUGUAAAAUCUGGAUCUCUGAAUGUCACAUGUUGAAGGGGCAUUGAAGAUUAUUUACUUGAACCUCUUCGUUGCACUGAUGAGAAAACUGAGGCCUUGAGGAAGCAAGUAAUUUACCUACAAUAAGGGGUGGCACUGCUGGGGAAGACGAGUGAGAACAGCCUGAGAGAGACGCCUGAGUUUGCCGAGGAGAGACACGUCUUCUGAAGACUGAAAGGUAAUUUGUGAAAGCCAUCGGGAAGAAACUUUUUUUUGGUUCCUCCCUGAAGCAGCGAUAAGGGCAUUAUAGAUUUAGAGGCUUGAAAUGAGUAAGAGAAAGGAUUUCUUUGGAAAUCUUGUCUGAAACCGCCAUAAAUUUUAGAAACAUCCAGUUGGAAAACACAUCAAACAUGUCUUUUCUCAAGCAAGUUGUCACAUUUCAUCGCCAUGGCUGGUUUUCUAUUUCAGUCUCCGUCUCCUAAAGCAGCUGUGUUCUUGCUGAAGAGAGGCUUGGAGCUGGAGACAGAGGCAGACGAUGACAUGUGUUGCCUUGAGUGAGAAGCCUUUACCAAAAGGGUUAAAGGUCUUCUGAGUCUUUGUUUGCUUGUCUGUUUACAUAAGAACACACAGAAUUCUCCCCAAAGUCCUCCUUCUUCCUCACCUCUCCCUUCUUUCCUACUCCAUCGAAACUGACAACAUUUGAAAAAUUUGACCUGUCUAGUCUCUUACCAGUUGUCACUCUUUAUGCCAAAGCUGAAUCUAAACACUUUAUUUAUCGAGACACCUUGGCGGAUUAGAUGGUUAAAACAUCUUAAACUUAUGCUUUCUGGGGUUUUGUUAUUGCUGUUAUUUAGAUUCCAGAAUCAUAAUUAUUUAGAUGCCAGAAUCAUAAUAGUAAAUUAAGGGAGUAAGGGAGUAAGGGAAAAUAAGAAGCCAAAUGAAGCAAAAAAUUCGAGGAGGGGGGAGGUUUGAACAUAAUAUUGAACACAAGGGCCUAGAAGUAGAAGAGAAGGAUAUCAAGGUAUAAAAUACUUAGUCCCUAAAUUACUUAAGUUUGAUGUGAUUUGUGGGAGAUUGUGCCUUAAAAUAGAAAGAAAUGUGGAUUUUAGAAAAGGGACUUCAUUGAAAUUUGGCAUCUUCAUAUUUGAAAUUACUCCCCCAGUGGCAUGGGCUAAGAUGUGAGGGAUAAAACGCUGUCCUGCCAGUGUUUCUGGGACUUGAGAGCCAUUCAUUCAUGCCAAGGACCACCAGUUUAAAUGAAAAGGAUCAAAACAAAUGCACCUAACCCUAUUAAAUGAGUAAAGAGGAGGUGGAUUUAUAGACCUGGAAGGAUGCGUUUCCUUACACAUCGUCACCACAGCACAAGAAGCUAUGAAAUCUUUUCCUGCUCAGAGGAUGAAGACCAUCUUAGUAAUGUGGGUGGGAUUUUUCAAGUUCAGCAUUUUAGUUGAAUGCAGCUUGUUUGGAAGGGAUUUAUUACAGGGGCUAGCACCUGGUGGCUGCACUUAUGUGUUUGUAGGCUGGAUGAGCGCUUGAGUGAAUAUAUGACUUACUCUCAGCCUGUAAUAACAUCUGUGACUGCUCUCCUGGGUUGGGGUUCUCGCCAGUAACCCCACAGGUGCAAAUCUUUUAUGUGGAGAUCAGGAGGUCAGGAAGUAGCAAUUGGACACAAAAUGGUUUUCUCUGAAAUCAGUUAUUAAAAAUAAGCUGUUGCCAUCACUAACUUUCUCACUUUAAAUGCAACUGACACUAUGACCAAAUAAUUGGUGGUAAUUGCAGGCCUGGUGUCAGGUUUAAUAAACCACUCAAAGUGCAAAUCCUCUAAAGAUGU